rnacentral:lncRNA from 1 species
GGCUGGGCCAAGAGGCCUCUGCGGGUGCGCGCGCGAGUCGGCUGUCCUCACUUGCCUGGUGGUGGGCCUCCGUUUCCCCGUUUCCCCGUUUUGCAUAUGGGGAUGACGGCGAAGGUGGAGGUCACGUGGAGGGCGGCGGCCCGGCGCUGAGGCGCUUCGGGAGCGGGCUCCGCCCAGCCCAGGCCGAGCCCGGACCUCACACGGGCCAAAGCUGGAGCUUCUGCGGGGCUGCGCAGGCGGCGGGUCUCGGCCAGGGCAGGGCCGGGCACCUGCGCGUCUCGCGCUGCGGGGACGGGCGUUGGGCCCCAAGUCAGGCUGCACGGGCUCCGCGUGGGGCCGUGCUCGGCCGGGGGCUGGCAGGCCCCGCGGGGACUCCGGACUCCCAGUGUCACCAACGAGGAAACUGAGUCUCAAGACAUCUGAGGGACCUUUGCCCGAGGUCGCAGCCCCUCCCUGGAGGAGCUGAAGUGCAGAGUAGGGAGCCCCUUGCGGAGACCCUCCUGGGACCUCCUUCCGCAGGGGCCUGGGGCGCCUCCCUUUCCCUGCUCUGCCUGCGGGCACUGAGCUCCCGAAAGACUCCAGCCCCUCGCUCUCCCGGUGACCUGCUGGAGAAGACACCUGGGAGGAACCUGCGGACAAUGGGUGUGUGUCCUUGGGCCGCCAGGGUCACCUUUCAGCCUGUUUCCCCAGAGGUGAACCAAGAGUCACACCCAAGGCAGGAGAGCAAGAGUGAUGAGUCCGCUGCACCUUCUCCGGCAAGCGGAGGUUCUCCCGCCGCCCUCACUCUGUGAUGCUUGCUGUGCUUGCGAGGCCUACGCCAAAGCCCUGCGGGCAGCCCUGGGCUCCCGCGGACAGCCUUGCUGAGCUCCUGGGAAGGAGGCGUGCCCUCCCCUUCCCCCACCGCCCCGCUGGCUGGGGUUCUCUGCAGCCCAGGACUGUGCAUGUGUGCGCACACGGGUUCUGUGAACACGAACACAAAAGUGUGCUCGUGGACACUGCGUGGUACUGUGUGCACACAGCGCACGUCUGUGAGCUGAGGGAGUGUUCCUGGACACCAGGUGCAAGUGCACAAGUGUGUGUAUGCUGGCACAAGUGUGUGCCCAGGCGCAAACAUGGGAACGGU